AAGUAAAAGUCGUAACAAGGUUUCCGUAGGUGAACCUGCGGAAGGAUCAUUAAUGUAACCGGACUGUUCGGGUGCCGUAAAACGCAUCUGUUCGGAAAGGGAGAUAUCAUACACCCUAUGUUUAUUUACUUUUGUUGCUUUGGCGGGCCGUCCUUUUAGGCAUCGGCUCUGGCUGAUCGUGCCCGCCAGAGGACCUAAACUCUUCUAUCAGUGAUGUCUGAGUACUAUAUAAUAGUUAAAACUUUCAACAACGGAUCUCUUGGUUCUGGCAUCGAUGAAGAACGCAGC
rnacentral:misc_RNA from 1 species